GCUCUCACUGUGUUUCUCCCAACGGCCUGAAAUCUCCUCACCAUGCUCUGGGCUCCCCUCAUCCUCCUGCUGGGGACGUGGUGCACAGGUUCCAGCUCGCAGCCUGUGGUGACUCAGCCACCCUCAGUGUCAGUGUCCCCAGGAAACACCGUGAAACUCUCCUGCACCAUGAGCAGUGGGACCAGCAUCAGUGGCUACACUGUGUCCUGGUACCAACAGAAACCUGGGAAUUCUCCACGAUACCUGCUGUAUUACUAUUCAGAGUCCAGCAAGGGUCAGGGCUCUGGGGUCCCUGCUCGCUUCUCUGGUUCCAAAGACACGUCCAGUAACGCCGGCUAUCUGACCAUCUCCGGGGCACUGGCAGAGGAUGAGGCUGAUUAUUACUGUGCUGUGUGGAGUGGGAGUGCUCCUCCUCACUGUGAUACAGACAGAUGGGGAACUCCAGUACGGCAGGAGCACAUCGACAACUGUCUGGACAGUUGGUAA